rnacentral:rRNA from 1 species
AUUGAACGCUGGCGGCAUGCUUUACACAUGCAAGUCGAACGGCAGCGCGGGAUUCGGCCUCGCGGAGAGUGGCCGACGGGCGAGCAAUGCAUCGGAACGUGCCCAGCAGUGGGGGCUAGGCCGGCGACAGCCGGAUUCAUACCGCAUUAGCCCUGAGGGUGAAAGCGGGGAACCAAAAGGCCUUGCGACCUUGGACCGGCCGAUGUCGGAUUAGCUAGUUGGUGGGGUAAAGGCUUACCAAGGCGACGAUCCGUAGCUGGUCUGAGAGGACGACCAGCCACACUGGAACUGAGACACGGCCCAGACUCCUACGGGAGGCAGCAGUGGGGAAUUUUGGACAAUGGGGGCAACCCUGAUCCAGCCAUGCCGCGUGCGUGAAGAAGGCCUUCGGGUUGUAAAGCGCUUUUGUUCGGGAAGAAAACCUGUGGGCUAAUACCCCGGUGUGAUGACGGUACCGGAAGAAUAAGCACCGGCUAACUACGUG